GAAAGGGAGUACUUGGCGAGGAUAUUCAAAUCCUUUUGGACAGACUUGAUGAACAGACCACUGAUGUUCUUGUACAUCGAAAACAUACAGCUCUUCAAAGACUCCCAUUAUUUUUGAGGGAGAAGACUGACAUUCUGCUGAGGACUUGUCUGGAAACAGACCCAGAGGAAAGUUGCACCCAAGGCCUGAAAGUGGGUAUCAUCAUUAUUGUUGAGGAUGAUGUUGCCAAUGUCCAUUCCAACCCCAAUAUUGUCAGAACAGGCAUUGUACUGGAGGAGC